CAGCAGCCACGGGAAUACGAAGGGGGCUAGCGUUGCUCGGAUUUACUGGGCGUAAAGGGUGCGUAGGCGGAUUGUUAAGUCAGGGGUGAAAUCCCGAGGCUCAACCUCGGAACUGCCUUUGAUACUGGCGAUCUUGAGUCCGGGAGAGGUGAGUGGAACUGCGAGUGUAGAGGUGAAAUUCGUAGAUAUUCGCAAGAACACCGGUGGCGAAGGCGGCUCACUGGCCCGGAACUGACGCUGAGGCACGAAAGCGUGGGGAGCAAACAGGAUUAGAGACCCCGGUAGUCCCUGUCUCUUAUAC
rnacentral:rRNA from 1 species